UUAUAAGCAAAGUUUUGUAUUUUAGAUUCAUUCAUUAAAUGAUGCAUGUGGUCUGUGAUAAAGACUGCAUACAUCAUUUAAUAAAUGAAUCUAAAAUGCAAAGUUUUACUUAUAU
rfam:Medicago truncatula strain A17 chromosome 5, whole genome shotgun sequence.